GAGAAGACAUGGCGGCGUCUGCGUCGACAGCUGCUGGGGAAGAGGACUGGUAACUUUGGGUCAUAGGUUUUGGCUGGCUGCCUGGAUCUGGUGCCGGGAACUAGCAACAGCUUCGGACCGUCCGAACCACGGGCAUAAAGGGUGGAUCAAGGGGCGAGGGAUAGAAGAGACAUCCUUUCGUAGGCGAGCUACUGGACCGGGAACGGAGGGAGGAGGGACGCUGAUCUGAGAAGGGACUGGGUCUACGGCGGCCUUGCCAGCUGGGCCCACGCCUUAUCGACCCCAUUGCUCCCUACUACGGGCCUACCCCUCCCCACUUCUCCCUGAUGUGAUUUUUCUGGGCCCUGGAGGAUGGCUUCUCAUCACACCUCCCGCCUCUCGGAACGGACGCCCUCCUCGUGCCCCUAGGAUCCUGCCCCUUGGACCAGUCCAUUUCUGCCUACGCGUUCCUCAAUCUUCCCAUAUUCCUGAUAGCACUAAUAACUAUUGUCAGAAAAGCCUUACUCCCCUCAUAAGCUCUCCUAUUCUCUCGAGCAUUCUUAAUAAGAAACCAAAAGCCUUUAAAGACUUUGGGUUUUGGACAUAAGAUAAAAAUGUGCUCACUCCAUAUUUAAUUAGCUUGAUGUGAUGCUGACCAAACCAGCUAGCUCCUGCGAGUCAGUGUCAGCUA
rnacentral:lncRNA from 1 species